AGCUUGCUCUUUGGGUGGCGAGUGGCGGACGGGUGAGGAAUACAUCGGAAUCUACUUUUUCGUGGGGGAUAACGUAGGGAAACUUACGCUAAUACCGCAUACGACCUACGGGUGAAAGCAGGGGACCUUCGGGCCUUGCGCGAUUGAAUGAGCCGAUGUCGGAUUAGCUAGUUGGCGGGGUAAAGGCCCACCAAGGCGACGAUCCGUAGCUGGUCUGAGAGGAUGAUCAGCCACACUGGAACUGAGACACGGUCCAGACUCCUACGGGAGGCAGCAGUGGGGAAUAUUGGACAAUGGGCGCAAGCCUGAUCCAGCCAUACCGCGUGGGUGAAGAAGGCCUUCGGGUUGUAAAGCCCUUUUGUUGGGAAAGAAAUCCAGCUGGCUAAUACCCGGUUGGGAUGACGGUACCCAAAGAAUAAGCACCGGCUAACUUCGUGCCAGCAGCCGCGGUAAUACGAAGGGUGCAAGCGUUACUCGGAAUUACUGGGCGUAAAGCGUGCGUAGGUGGUCGUUUAAGUCCGUUGUGAAAGCCCUGGGCUCAACCUGGGAACUGCAGUGGAUACUGGGCGACUAGAGUGUGGUAGAGGGUAGCGGAAUUCCUGGUGUAGCAGUGAAAUGCG
rnacentral:rRNA from 2 species